CAGUCGCCGCGGGAAUACGUAGGGUGCAAGCGUUAAUCGGAAUUACUGGGCGUAAAGCGUGCGCAGGCGGUUUUGUAAGACAGAGGUGAAAUCCCCGGGCUCAACCUGGGAACUGACUUUGUGACUGCAAGGCUAGAGUACGGCAGAGGGGGAUGGAAUUCCGCGUGUAGCAGUGAAAUGCGUAGAUAUGCGGAGGAACACCGAUGGCGAAGGCAAUCCCCUGGGCCUGUACUGACGCUCAUGCACGAAAGCGUGGGGAGCAAACAGGAUUAGACACCCAAGUAGUCCCUGUCUCUUAUAC
rnacentral:rRNA from 1 species